AAUCAACGCUGGCGGCGUGCCUAACACAUGCAAGUCGAACGCGAAAGUGGAGCAAUCCAUGAGUAGAGUGGCAAACGGGUGAGUAACGCGUGGGCGACCUACCUCAGAGUGGGGGAUAAC
rnacentral:rRNA from 1 species